rnacentral:rRNA from 1 species
UACGUAGGGGGCUAGCGUUGUCCGGAAUCAUUGGGCGUAAAGCGCGUGUAGGCGGUUCGGUAAGUCCGCUGUGAAAGUCGGGGGCUCAACCCUCGGAUGCCGGUGGAUACUGUCGUGCUAGAGUGCGGAAGGGGCUACUGGAAUUCUCGGUGUAGCGGUGAAAUGCGUAGAUAUCGAGAGGAACACCUGCGGCGAAGGCGGGUAGCUGGGCCGACACUGACGCUGAGGCGCGAAAGCCAGGGGAGCGAACGGG